AUUGAACGCUGGCGGCAUGGCUAAAACAUGCAAGUCGAACGAUUAAAGCUUCUUCGGAAGUGCAUAAAGUGGCGUAAGGGCGAGGAAUAUAUUUCUAUGUACCCCUAAGUCGAGGAUAGCCCAGAGAAAUUUGGUGUAAUACUCGAUGUGGUCUCCGGAUCAAAGAUUUAUCGCUUAGGGAGCAGGGAAUAUCCUAUCAGGUAGUUGGUGAGGUAACGGCUCACCAAGCCAAAGACGGGUAGCGGGUGUGAGAGCAUGACCCGCCGCAUCGGAACUGAGACACUGUCCGGACUCCUACGGGAGGCUGCAGUAACGAAUCUUCCGCAAUGAGCGAAAGCUUGACGGAGCAAUGCCGCGUGUAGGAUGAAUCUCUUCGGAGUGUAAACUACUGUCAGAGACUAGGAACCCAAUGACCAAUCUCGAAGGAAGGGCCGGCUAACUUCGUGCCAGCAGCCGCGGUAAUACGAAGGGCCCGAGCGUUAUUCGGAAUCACUGGGCUUAAAGCGUACGUAGGCUGGUAUAUAGGCAUUUUGUGAAAUCCCUCGGCUCAACUGAGGAACUGCAGAGUGAACCAUAUAUCUUGAGACAGACAGAGGUCGUUGGAACGAUUGGUGGAGUGGUGAAAUGCGUUGAUAUCAAUCGGAACGCCAAUGGAGAAGUCAAGCGACUGGGUCUGUUCUGACGCUGAGGUACGAAAGCGUGGGUAGCGAACGGGAUUAGAUACCCCGGUAGUCCACGCCGUAAACGAUGUGCACUAGGUCGAGGGCGUUCUGACGCGACUCUCGGCCGAAGCGAAAGUGUUAAGUGCACCGCCUGGGGAGUACGGUCGCAAGGCUAAAACUCAAGGAA
rnacentral:rRNA from 1 species